rnacentral:tRNA from 1 species
UCCGGCGUGAUCAAGUGGCUAGGAUAUCUGGCUUUCACCCAGAAGGCCCGGGUUCAAUUCCCGGCGUCGGAA